UUACAAUUCAGCACAGUGGAAUGAAGUGAGUCCAUGUCAAGAACACUCUCUCUGGCCAGAAAAAGCAGAAUGAUGGACUUUCAGAUUGGACGUGACCUCAAGAUCAGCUAAUUCAACUUUUCUUGGCAAAAACAAAAUCGAGUUUUGCUCCUGAGCAUGCACAGUGCACUAGACAAUGCAGCAAGCUCCAAAGAUCAAGUGAAGAAUAAUGAAGCAUGACACACUUAGAGCUUUGAAAUACAAGAACCUUGGAAAUAAUACUGAUGCAUGUAUAAUAAUUACGGAAAAUUAUUAAUAAAAACAAUGCUGAAUACUUGACAAUAUACUAA